UGCAAGAUCGUGCAUUUGUGCGUGUGUGUGCGUUUGUUUGUGUGCUUGUGAGGAAGUUAUAGUUUAAUGUUGGUUAGCUUCAAUUGUCGAGCAACAGAGAAAAAAGAAAUAAAUAUAUAAAACAGCCGCAGCAGCAGCAACAACAACAAAGUGAUGCUGAUUGAUGUCACACACACCACGAAGGAAAAAAAAAAAAAAAUAAAUAAAUUAUCACCUUGAAGGGGUUUAUCAAUUUCGCCAGCACAUAAAGAUGUUAUCUUGGAAAACCGUUUAGAGGUGGACCUUUGAGGUUGACAGUACUGCAGGUGAGUUUUGGACACAUCAAAUUAUUAGCAGAGCGUUUUCCAAAAAGCUACAAAAUCAACAAAAUGCCUUGCCCUAGCCAUUCAUAAUUUAUGCAUAUGCACCCUGCAUUUUCCGCCAUCGAAAAAUGUUUCGAAUUUUCCAAGAGCGGAGCCUGCGAUGAUAAGAUAAACUUGCUGCACACUCCUCGCCGCCUUUUGUUGUGCGUGUGUAUUGUACUUGGGUCAUUGUUGUAAUGCCAUAACAAUCAAGUGAAAUUACGCUAAAUGACACGCUCAUUACGGCCCUUCGUUUUUGGGGUGGC